rnacentral:lncRNA from 7 species
ACCUUAAUAAUGCUGUAGGAGUAUGGGUUCUCUGCUUGGUUACAGCUGUAGCUGCCUAUAGACUCUGACUCAUUUGUGGGUCUCCUGGCUGGACUGCAGAGCUGUCCUGUUACUAUGGGCAUGUCUGGCAGUCUCUGGACUAUCCCUCAUCCUGAUCUUGUGUGGAUGGGACUGCCCUGCUGGCCCUGGUGGUGAUCUCAGCUCCUGCAUCUCCAUUCAGCUGGGACAAGGUGUGGCUUAGCUAAGAAAGCACCAAAGAGAGCCACUCACACCUGAUGGGAUCUUCGCUCUCACCUGCAGUUGUCAGUACCUGGCUUCAAGUCUCUUGGCAGGACCCCUCUGGGACAGGAGUUCAAUGGAGACCAGAGCUUUAUCAUGCUGGUCCAAGUAUUGUGUGCAACUCUGCUAGAUCAGCUGAGGGAAGGAAAAAUGUGUGAACAGUUAAGCGGUGUCUACCUUUUCUUCUGGGCUUUGGGACUUUUGUCUGGCAUUUACUUUGUAUGUACAUCUGAGCCAACAGAAUUGCAAAUGUAUGGUUUUUGUGAAUAUAUUUACCUAAGUUGACAGCAUUUAACAUUUCAUAAUAGGGUUGGAGGGUUACAUGUAUCCAGUCCAAUUUGAAGGAAAGGGGAGAUGUUUCCAUUUUCAUAUAUAGACUGUGAAAAUAUGAAGGCUGAUUAUGAAAAAUAAUGUACAAAAUACAAAAGAAUGUAAACCAAUCCAGUCCUGUAGUAUAUGUGCUUGUUUGGUAGUUUCUUGAUGGCAAGGCAUGUUUACACAGCCAUGAAGUAAAAAUAUCUGAAUAUCACACAAGCAUUAUGAUUCUGUGCAGUGAACUCUUUUAUAACUCAUUUGAAAUGAACCUGUCAGUCAUUAAUGAUCUGUGAAACCCUACCCCAAGCUGGUGCCAACUUUUUCCCACAGAACAGUUACAUUGUGAUAAGCUCUGCUGUAUUCACAGUAAAUCAGGGAGUACAACAAUGAAGUUACACCAUAAGCUUUGCUAUAUUGCACAGUAAAUCACUGUGUUAGAUGACAAUUACACAAUAAGCCUCAUUUUAUUCUUUAUGGGAGCAUCUAUCAGUAAUGGAUGAAGGUCAAUACAAAUGUUUUUCCUCCCAUUCUACCACCUACUGCACAUACUAUUUAUGGAUACUUAAGGUUUGGGGGGGACCAUUGUUAGCCUUGUAUGCCUGUGCUUAUGAUGCAUGCAAUAGAGUGCUGGGGACUGCACCACAAGCCUUGCGAUGUCUGAAGUUGUCACUGGGGCUGGUUCAGUGACUGGAAGGGGAUCCUUGUCUUUCAGUGAGCUCUGCCUGUUUACGCUGAGAUUGCAUCUUUCCAUCUCUUGAAAAUGCAUACUAGAUAUUUAUACAGAUCUUGUAUUUAGAUCCUGUAUACUAGGUCUUAUAUUUAUUUGCUGAACUGUCUUGGUUUUCAUUGUCCCAUCCAAUUUUAUUUG